rnacentral:lncRNA from 1 species
GAGAAGUGUGCAAGAAAUCUUACAGCCAGCAAGUAGACUGUAUUAUUAAACAUGUUCUUAGAAAUUGCUCUAGCUCUGCCACUACGACGAAUUCACGGAUAUUAGAGUAGGAUGCUAAGUCUCCUACGCAUUUGUUCAGCUGGAUUGGGCUUGUUCACUCUCUGGGCCCGAAGAAUUUUGACCGCCUUGCUUCCGGCCUGCAAGUGGCCUGCUCCUCUUCUUCCCUGCCUUGCCGGCCUUGCUUUGUUGUCUUUAGUUUCAGCAUCGCCCAUCGUCAGGAUCCUGACACGAACACACGCCUAUAGUCCUAUAAGAAUGUACUUAUACAAUAGUAAAUCAGCAAACUUUAAUGAAAUUCCAACUUUGCAAGCACGGUACAAUUCAUUUUCUUCUUUUGGAGUCGGGGUAGCUAGGUUACCUGGGCGAUACGGUACCUUCUUUGACGUACGACGUCACCAUCUCUGUCCUGUACUUCUUGUCGUAGUCAAAAUUUCUGGAAUAAUAAACUGAAAUAAAUUAUGAAAAUAAGAUAACAUCAGGGAGAGCGUGCGGUCCAAACGAGACAGUGACAUCUAUCAACUCCUCUGCUUAGACUAG